UACGUGGGGAGCAAGCGUUGUUCGGAUUUACUGGGCGUAAAGGGCGCGUAGGCGGCCUCCGCAAGUCGACUGUGAAAUCUCCGGGCUUAACCCGGAAAGGUCAGCCGAAACUGCGGGGCUAGAGUGCAGAAGGGGCAACUGGAAUUCUCGGUGUAGCGGUGAAAUGCGUAGAUAUCGAGAGGAACACCUGCGGCGAAGGCGGUUCUCUGGGCCUUACCUGACGCUGAGGAGCGAAAGCGUGGGGAGCGAACAGG
rnacentral:rRNA from 1 species